AAUAAGCCACGGCUAACUCUGUGCCAGCAGCCGCGGUAAGACAGAGGUGGCGAGCGUUGUUCGGAAUUACUGGGCUUAAAGGGCGAGUAGGCGGUGAAACAAGUCUGAGGUGGAAUCUUAGGGCUUAACCCUAAAACUGCCUUAGAAACUGUUUUACUUGAGUCAGUGAGGGGAGGGCGGAAUUCCUGGUGUAGCGGUGAAAUGCGUAGAUAUCAGGAGGAAGGCCUGUGGCGAAGGCGGCCCUCUGGCACUGAACUGACGCUGAGGCGCGAAAGCGUGGGUAGCAAACAGGAUUAGAUACCCUGGUAGUCCACGCCCUAAACGGUGGGCAUUAGGUGUAGGGCUCGUAAGGGUUCUGUGCCGAAGGGAAACCA
rnacentral:rRNA from 1 species